ACAUACAUCAUCUGAGAUCUCAUUAAAAUGCAAAUUCUGGUUAAGCAGAUCUGGGUUGGGGCCUGAAAUCUGUUAUUUUUAAUGAGCUCCCAACUAAUGUUAAU
rnacentral:pre_miRNA from 1 species